CCACCGCCGCUGCCGCCGCCGCUGCCUGCACUUGUUGCUGGAGAUCAGGAGGGUUGUGUUUGCGCAUAUGUUUCAUAAGGUACGUUUCCUGAAGGAGAUGUGAAAAAGAGUUGAGGGAUUAAAGAGAAGAAAAGAGGUUACUUAUAACUGGCAUCCUGGGCUCUUACUUUACUUCAAAUAGAGCCAUACUUAUACGGGGACAUUCUGGAGCCACGGGCAAAUUCUCUCCAGAAGCCUCUUUCAGUGUUCAAUACUGGGCAGAAAGGAGAGGGAGACCUUUGGAGUCACAGGGGGCAUUCAGUUGGCACAGGGAAAGCGUCAUUUUCUCAAAGAUCUUUGAACGGAACAACUUUACCACCUUUUCCUGGAGCCAUUUAAAAAAUCUUUCUCCCAAAACUGCAAGUUGCAAGUUGCAUUAUUUUGCCUUGUAUUUAAGUAAAAUUAAGAAUCACUGCUUAGCCAAAAAAAAAAACAAAAAAAAAACAAAAAAAACGAAACAAAACAAAGAAUCAUUGCUUAGCAAUCUUUCUCUAUAGGCUUAAGAGCUCAGGCAUCCCCCUCAAUUCCCGAGCUACAUGUCUGUGUCAUUUCUGUUCUCUUUAUCGAUUCCGGUUAAGUUGGGAGCUAGGGAGCAAGCAUAUUCAAGGCAACAGCUCUUUAUCCAGAGAGGUGGGGUGAAGUGGACCAUGGCCUCACAGGCCCAGAGAGAAGUAAAGGGAAGGCACUGCGCACUCACCGACGUGUAUGCCCGACUACAGAUAGUGCAGGUAUACACCUUGGCAUGCUUCACCGUAUGCGUAGAUAGGUGCACCUCUAGUGAGGCUGCGUCCGUGUACGCCCGGUGACAGUUGUGGCACUUGAAGGGUUUAUCUUUGUUGUGCUGCCGCCUGUGGGACUGGGAAAAUGGGGAAAGAAUCAGGAUGAGGACCUUGGGCUCUUCCUUCCUGCCUCUGUGACCUUAAUGGAAAAGCCCCGAGCUGGGUGUCAGCCUUCCAGAUUCUCUUUCCAUUGGAAGGCAAUGCAAAUUGCCUUUUUUUUUUUUUAAUGUUUCUUUUUCAGGGAAAAGAGUGAACAGGGGAGGUGCAGACAGAGCGGAACAGAGGAUCCGAAACGGGCUCUGUGAUGACAGCAGAGAGCCCAAUACAGGGCUCGAAUUCAGGAACCGUGUGAUCACGAGCCAAAGUCAGAUGCUAAACCGACUGAGCCACCCAGGCGCCCUGGGAAGCUGCUCAGUAAAACGUGAGGAGUUACAGGCAAAGGGAAGAGGUGUAUGUAUCUCCUGCAGCACAUUCCAGGAUCCUGGAAAAUGAGAAGGAUGGCUAUACUGGCUCCACCGGCCUGGUGGUUCCCAAAGCAAAGCGGAGGGGACACUAGGGAAUACCAAGACUUUUCCACAGGGCCCCCAAAGUCAAAACUGCUUUCAAAAUGAUAAUAAGACUACGUUGGCCUUUUCAUGCUCAUUCUCUCAUGACUGUACAGAGAUCACACAAUGCGUGAUGUCACGAAGACUGAAUGCAGCAGGAAGGUAGCCAUCUUCUGGUAAGCUAGACACUAAAAAAUAUGCAAAGUGUAAAACGAUGCCAUUCUUUCCAUUUUGGGGGAAGUGGGCGUAUGUUUGGAAAUAGGUUAAUGUUAGUAUGCAAUGGGUUUGUUAUUUUUAAAUUAGUCACUAAAUAUGCUUUCAAGUUUUUCAGUUUUACAUUCUCUGUACUCACAUCAACAAAAACUCUUUGGGUUUCCCAAUAAUUAUUAAGGGUGUAAACAGGUCCUGAAAAAGUUCAGGAACCACUGUACUAGUCAAACGGCACUUUGAGCCCAGUGUCAGACAUAAGGCCUCAUGUGGAAGGUGGAACAUUUACCUGCAGAUUGGAGAGCUGCGUGAAGGCUUUCUCACAGCCCGGGUGUGCACAUUUGUAUGGUCUGUCACCGGUGUGGAUUCUGCAUAGGAUGAGAAAAGAAGAAAGGGAAAGGAGGUCAGCAAGGCCACUCAGGGAUCAGUUCCUUCUCAAACCUCCUCAAGGUCACGCCUGCCCUCCUACAGGAGUUCAAGCUGGGUUUCCAGGAGGUCCCAGCCUCAGCUCCUCUCUGACACGGAUCACGCCAUAGUGCCUGAUCUCUGCUCACUGCCUCCAUCACUCAGUUCAAGCUGGGCUCCUCUGCCGGGGGAGGAGGAACCGGCAGCGUGGCAGCCAAGAGAUAGGCAGUCCCUAAUUUGGCAUACAAGUCAGCGACUAUAGUAGCUGUCCCUGAUGAAUGUUCAAAAACAUAUGGUGAACACACUGAAAAGAAACACAGAACACUUCUUCCUUGGCCCCUACAAUACAACCAGAAGCUAUGCCCUCAGCCUUGAGCACCACUCCCAGAAAAAGUUCUGGUGUCAAAGAACAUCAGAGUUAUGCUAAUUAUGGAGAGCAGCAGUGAUAUUAAUACUCAUGGAAACUCCUUGGGGCUUUUCCGAGUCCAGCCCCCUAACGGCAGGAGAUGCCUACUUUAGUACCAAUUUGACCUCUUUCCCAAACACUACAGGGCCCUCCACUGAGAUGAGCCAAGGACUUGAGGGUCCGUAGACACCUGCUACUUAUCGGGGACUUCAGAACUAUAUUUGUGACCAGCUGCUUUUCUGGACCUCCAGUAUAAAAUCUUGGAAACAUCACAGGACGAGUCUGUCUCCUUGUGAGGAAAGCCCGACUUCUCCUCUUCGCAAAACAAGGUAUCUGACCACUUUGAGAGGGAUCACCACGUCCGGAAACAGCCAGGUGAGAAGGCCUCUGGCCAGUAAGAGUUUUGGAUUGCAGUUCAACUUGAGAUACUGAUGAAGGAUGUCAUCAACUCUUCCAGGUGGCAGGUUCACUCCCUCCUAGUCACUCCAGAUUCAUGGGACAAACAGUGGGCAUCCUUAUGAAGCAGGAGCUUUUUCAUUUCAUUUGCCGGUUCUCUGUGAUCAUUUCAGACAUGUUUCGUUCUGUUCUCUAUUCCUGGCAUCCCUCAGAGCCUUGCUUAUUGCCGUAGGUGUCACCAGGCUGAGACCCAGCGAAAAAAGUCUGAUUACAUUUCCUGUUCAUACGUGGUGCCCUAAGGGCUAGAGGUAUGGUCUUCUCCAACCAAAUGCCCUUGCUUCGGCAUCCAGGAGAAAAUCUUGCAACAUGUGCGUAUUGGUGUUUUCGGGGAGAGAAAUGA
rnacentral:lncRNA from 1 species